ACGGAAGGCAGCAGUGGGGAAUAUUGCACAAUGGGCGCGAGCCUGAUGUAGCAACGCCGCGUGAGGGAAGACGGUUUUCGGAUUGUAAACCUCUGUCUUUGGUGACGAAGAAGUGACGGUAGCCAAGGAGGAAGCCACGGCUAACUACGUGCCAGCAGCCGCGGUAAUACGUAGGUGGCAAGCGUUAUCCGGAAUUACUGGGUGUAAAGGGAGCGCAGGCGGGAUAGCAAGUCAGCGGUGAAAAUUAUGGGCUUAACCCAUAAACUGCCGUUGAAACUGUUAUUCUUGAGUGGAGUAGAGGCAGGCGGAAUUCCGAGUGUAGCGGUGAAAUGCGUAGAUAUUCGGAGGAACACCGGUGGCGAAGGCGGCCUGCUGGGCUCUAACUGACGCUGAGGCUCGAAAGUGUGGGGAGCAAACAG
rnacentral:rRNA from 1 species